rnacentral:lncRNA from 1 species
AUUGUGCUUGUGCCUGCUGCUGCACACUCGCAGGCACGGGGCUAUAAUGAGGCGCACGCGAUCCCGGCUUCUCAACUUUGCCUUCUCGAAGGACACCGGGGUUUUAAAUCGCCUGGGCUAGAAUUACCAGGAAGGAAAAGAGAGAGAAAUGAAAUCCCAACUGUACCUGACGGCGUCUGGGAAUCCCUCGCCGGCACCGAUCAUAAUCCCCCUCCGCGCCUCUGGCCCCCCACACCAAAACUUUUCCGCUGCCGCCGCCGCUCCUCGGUUCUGACCGCCGCCCGCCGCUCCUGGCCAGCCCCUGGGGCCCGCUGCCCGCCGCCGCUCCGCUCCGGAGCGGCCCCCGCGUCUCCCUCCUCCCUUAGGAGGCAGCGGCAUCGUCCUCCCCCCUUCUCCUCCACCUCCUCCUACGGCGCGCAGCCCGCGGCUCUGGCAUCCCCAACGCACUUUCUCUCCUCGAUUCGCUCCUCUUUUCCCCGCCGCUCCUCCUUCUCCGGCAAAAAAGAAAUGAGAAGGGGCCACAGGGACGUUGCUUUCUUUUUCUUUCUUUUUUUUUUUUUUUUCUCUCUCUGUCUCUGUCCUCUAGAAAUGGUGCGAGGAUCACAUGAGACGCUGGCACGGAGACCCAGGACCCUUGGACGUCGGAGGAGGCAGCGGACACAUAGAUCCCAAGACAAUUCCUCUUCACUCAGUGUGGCCCAGACAAGACAAAAGACUGGACACCCCUAUUCAGGAUAAUUCUGAAGUCUCUGAACUCUUCCUGAAGCAGAUAUGAAUUAGCCUUUGCUACGAUCUUGAUGGUCAUGCUCAACACUGUUAAAAGUUCAUAGAAUCAUAGACUAUUCUGAGUUGGAAGGGACACACAAAGAUCAUCAAAUCUAACUCCUGGCUCCACACAGGACCGCCCACAUUUCAAACCAUAUAUCUGAGAAUGUUGUCCAGUUGCUUCUUGAAUUCCAGGAGACUUGGUGCCAUGACCACUUCCAUGGGGAACCUGUCACAGUGCCCUGCCACUAGAAGAAAUUUUUCCUCAUAUUCAACCUGAAGUUGUUUAACCUUAUGCGGGAAAAAGAGUCUAUCACAACUAGUGAUUUUCUUGGAGGAAAAAAAAACCCUGUAGUUAUGUCCACAGGCGGACCUUCCUGUUUGUAUGAGAUCAAAACAAUCUAUUAGGCCUUGGCUUUCAAAAUAUGAAAUACAAUGUAAACUCAUAAGAGAUUUCAGUCCAGUUUGUACGAGUUAGCAACGUCCCUUUGCAGAGAAGACAACUUAACGGUUAUCAUGGGCUGCAGGGCUGCAAUAGGAGCAGCCAGCAGGUCAAGGAGUAGGGGGAAUCUUUCCCAUUUAUUCAACACUGGUGAAAUGACAACUGGAGUACUGUCUUGUUCUGUGUUCCCUGAUACAAGAGAUGUGGACAUACUAGAAAGAGUUCCGUGAACAGCCACUAAGAUAAUAGGGUACUGAGCAUUUCUCCUACGAGGAAAAGGUGAGAGAGCUGGAAUUGCUCAGCCUGGAGAAGACUCAAGGGAGGGAUCUUAUCAGCGUCUAUAUGUACCUGAAAGGAAAGCAUAAAGAAGAUAGACCCUUUUUUCUGCUCUUUUUUUUCAGUGGUGCCUAAUGGUAGGGCAAAAGACAAUAAGCACAAGCUGAAACACAGGAGGUUCUGUCUGAAUGCUUUUUUUUAAACUGUGUUGUUGACUGAGCACUGGCACAGGUUGCCCACAGAGAUUGUGAAAGC